GACGAACGCUGGCGGCGUGCUUAACACAUGCAAGUCGAACGGUGAAGCGCCUUCCUUUUUGGUGGGUGUGGAUGAGUGGCGAACGGGUGAGUAACACGUGAGUAACCUGCCCCCUUCUUCUGGAUAACCGCAUGAAAGUGUGGCUAAUACGGGAUAUUCUGGGUCUGUCGCAUGAUGGGUCUGGGAAAGAUAUUGUUUCGGUGGGGGAUGGGCUCGCGGCCUAUCAGCUUGUUGGUGGGGUGAUGGCCUACCAAGGCGGUGACGGGUAGCCGGCCUGAGAGGGUGGACGGUCCCACUGGGACGGAGCGACGGCCCAGACUCCUACGGGAGGCAGCAGUGGGGAAUAGUGCACAAUGGGCGCAAGCCUGAUGCAGCGACGCCGCGUGAGGGAUGGAGGCCUGCGGGUUGUGAACCUCUUUUGCCAGUGAAGCAGGCCUGCCUCGUUUGUGGGUGGGUUGACGGUAGCUGGAUAAGAAGCGCCGGCUAACUACGUG
rnacentral:rRNA from 1 species